UAACAGCAAUGUUUAAUCAUACCAACUAUUGCAAUGUUUUCGAUGACAUCUUGAAUAUGUCCAGGCUAUUAUCAAGAUCUGAAUUUCUACUUGACUCGAUGUCGAUCCAUGGUUCAAGAUGCGUAGCUCUGUUGCUAGUUGAGCCAAUAGUACUAGGAAAUAGGUAUUCCAAUAGAAUUAAUUUCAGUGCCUUCUAAUAUAAUUAAAAAUUAUGUUGGAACAACAUGACCAUUGCAUGGAGAGAUUCAUCCUUCAAAAGCCAUCAUCAUACUAGAAUUAUAUAACAAUUAUCAUUCAUGGACAACAAUUCGCAAAGCAUAAAAGUGUAAUUCUAUGACAAACGAAAUCAAAAUCUCCAUAACUAACGUCAAUGACCAAUCCCAACGACUCAUCAAAUGAAGACAACCUAUCUAAACUGUUGUAAUUAACGCUGGAAAGAAUCGUUUGCGCUCAUCACGAUCGCUUCCCAGGAAGUAUGCUGUUGGUGACCCAUAUGGCACUGACCGACCGGGCCCCGGGUAGUACAAACGCGCCUGAUAGCCGGACAAGCUGAUAGUGAAACGAGUGCACGCGAUAAGCCUAGUGCUAGUGGCCUCGGGCUGUACUAGCUACUGUGUGUGUGUGUGUGUAGUUCUCUAUUACCGCCCAUCUGGCUGCGAUAAGAAAACGAGAAACUGCGCUUAGAAGUUGUGAACGUGACUGCAUGUAUACUAAAGCCAGUAAAGAGCCAGAGUUGAUGCUGAUGCGUUUCAAAGACAGAUCGCUUCCAGCGCUAAAGAGCAUUACAGCAGCUUCACCGCAGCACGCAAUGAUGUAACUUGGUUCCUCCCAUUCCUCUUCACCCCUCACCCCAACAGCGAUCUGUAAUUGUAAUUGAAGCUGCCGAUCGAGAGGGGAGAGUGAGAGCGGCGUGGCCGGCAAAGGGUGUGGUACAAUUUAUUUGUUUAUUUACUUUCGCGUGCUCGCACUUAUCGCACGGCCAAACCUCCCCAACUGCGUACACGCGGCCAUAUUGUUGAUGUUUGUCAAGUUAGCUGCCGUCCGCCGCCGCCGGUGCCCAUCGGUGCGGCUUAUCAGGGUGACGGCCGACAGAAUGGCUGGGGUUGUGUUCUCGCGACUCCCAGUCUGGCCAGGCCGAGUGGCCGAUGAUGAACGGCCCGGGAACGGGUCGCCGCGUUCUAUAUGAAGGAUGGAUUCUUACUCUUGCGCUCAAUGUUUGCGACUCCUGCGCCUCGCCCCAGAGCUCGCUUUAAACAACCAGCCCCAAAUCAAACACUGUUGCUGCUAAAAGGGGUUCGGGGCGGAGGGAUAAAGGCAGCCUGCGCGACCCAUCGCGGCCGUACAGUGGAGCGAGAGUUGAAACGAUUCUCAUGUCAACCAUGGCCGCACGACACCGCACCGCGAUAAGAUAGCAGCGGGCCCGCGAAAGCAAAUUGCUCUGACAAAACACACGAAAACUGUCGUGCACGGCUUUCUGCCCGGGUGACAUCCGACACCAUCUGACCCCCCCCCCCCACUCCUUCCCUGGGGAAGGGGUGAAAGAGUUCGGAUGGGUGGCCUUAAAUGCGUUGCGCUUUUACUGACAAACGUGUUCGCGUUACUCGCUGAAGGGGGAGAAGAUGGGAGACAAAUUGUCUGCGACAUCAUCUCUUCUUUUACCGGUUUUGUUUCUCAAAGUCUUUCCCCGAUUGUCUUUCCAAACUCCCAGUGAAGGAUGCGAGUAGGAGGAGCGGGUGAGAGAGAGAUCGAGGGAAUGGAUGUAACUUUUCCUUGGCCGCGUGGAAGUAAAAACUGGUGGCUUUCCGCUCCAAGUGCGACCGGGCGUACCGGAAUUAGUUAGUGCGAUUGGUGAGAGAGCAACUCGAUGUCACGUAAACACCGGAAGGAAGGCUCCAUUUGGGGGGAAUGUGAACUCGUUACACCACACUGCGGUGGUGUGACUUUGGGCUAAAAACAAUGCUAAACGAGACACAGAACCGGGGUUUUAUUUGUAUUUUCUUUGACGAAAAAAUAAAAGAAAUCACUAAGAUAUGAGUUAUGCAGCGAUAAUGUAAAUGUUGUGGAUAUUGAUUUGAUGUAGUACAAAACUUUGUUCUGUCCGACAGCUUUUUAUUAUUUUUAUUUAUUAUUUUAUUUUAUUUCUGCACUUCUGCACGAUGUUAGUGCAGAUUUAGGAAUUAAAAGUUAGUAAGCUGAAGCUGAUUAAUUCAAAUUUCUACCUUUUUUGACAAAAUAUUAAUGGUUCAGCAAAAGCAAUUAAAACAUGCAUGAAAUAGGCAAGAAUCUUGCGGUUGUUUGGCGCACGGUUUUUUUUCUUAUUAUUAUUUCAGCCAUCAACUGUCAACUUCAAUUCGUUAAUAAAAGCUGGUUAGUAUCGUAAUGCCUCCAAUUCUUAGAUUAUUUAACAGUUUCACAAAUAAAUCUUAUGUUACAGUGAUACUCCAACCAGCUCAAGUUCAUUUCAUAAAAUCCAAAUUCAGCAUUAUCCAAUGGGUGGCAGUCAAUGACAGAUGAUUCGAUUUGAUAUAGUUGAAUAUUAUUCUGUAGACUUGACACAUUGUUUUGUAUACAAGGAACAGGAUACACACCACUAGAUAGAAUGUUUUAUUAGAUUCAGCUAUUAAAAUUCUUGGAUUUAUUUACUAAAUCUAAUGUACUACUCUGCAUUAAUAAUCUGUUAAUGACAUGUUUUAAGUUGAAUUACUGAAGCAUCAAGCUGGAAAACUGACCAUAUCGAUCUGUGUCUAUAAAAUCCAGUCUGGUAAGGCCGGUCUGGUGGUACAGUCGACCACUCGUACGACUUAACAACAUGCCCGGCAUGGGUUCAAGCACCGAAAGAAUCGUUGAUACGUAAGACAGACUAUCCUGCUAUGGUAAUAAAUAAAUCACUGAAAGCCAAGCCCACUAGUGGGACAAGCAGACACCUUGACCGACAUCGAUUGUUGUGCCAAAGAAGAAGAAGAAGAAGAAGUCUGUAAAAAAUGCAUGCAAUUAAUAGAUUGCAUUUUCAAAACUGAAAGGAAUUUUUUUUUUGUUUAUUAUCAUAAUUCUUAUUAUUUUGGCAAUUAUCAUAUUUGGCUUAAUUCUAAUUAUCAUAUUUUGGCAAGUACUCGUUCUAAGCUGAUAAAAGGCCCAAAUCAUGUUAAGAGGGUUGUUGAGCACAAACAAUUAAAUUCAAUUUAUACAAAUUUAAAUUUUGAAUAUAACCUUAUUCAUAAUUUGUUUGAAAAUAGUAGUGAGGAAAAAUUGGAAGAAUUCUAUGAAUUGUAUUGUAAACCAUGAAUUAUGACAAAAAAAUGUUAAAAUUUUGUACAAUUCAAGGUAAAAAAAUAAUAAUAAAAUCAAUUAUUACUUAUUCAAUUAAAGGGCUCCUACUCACACUACAAAUUCAGUUAUUUUAUCAUAUUUGUAUCUUUGUUCAAAUAAUGUUUGUGCUUUUAUUCAAAGGAUGUGCGCUUGGAAAACAAAUAAUAUGCGCUUGGAAAAUAACGAAACUGUUUGGUACAAUUGCUACUGCAAAUUAUCUUUACUUUAAUUAUUGUAGAGAACUAUUUAAUUUAAUCACUAGAAUGUUUUACGCAACCUUUUCAACUUAAAUAAAUUCUUCAUUGAUUUUUGAGUGUAUUUUUUCCACAUUUUUCAUUUUUUCUUAGUUUAAAUCAUCACUAGUCAAACAGCUUGCAAUUGAUUUCAUAACGUUUGAACCGGAAAAAAACUCGCUGAAAUUGAACGUCGAUUGCUAACCUAACUACCGUUUUAACCAAAGCAAACAGAAGGGAAGUGGCACAGCCCAAAGACACGCCACCGAAUCACCUGAUUGGAGCGGUGAAAAAAAGGCACAAAAGCAAGCAAACGAACCAAGCAGAAAAUCAGACCUCAAAGGGAGCAAUAACAACAGCAAACAAACAAACAGAAGAAAAAAAAAUCGCCCAGCUAAUAGAAUAACCCAACGGCAGAGGAAAUAAACAACGGCAGCGGCAACAACAAAAAAUGUGCAAGGUGUUAAGCACUUCAAAGCCGGAGACGGAUAUGGUUGGUAGGCGCGUGGCCCGAACAGCCGAUUGCAAAACAAACGUUCGAUACCCCGACCGGGAAGGCACACGCGAUGGACGGCUUUUCCCGUUUCGCAACGCCCGAGGGGCCUGUCGCACAAACACACACACACACACCCCUUUUAGGGUUUCCCCCGUGACAUUAGCAAACGGUUCCUGCGAGGCCUGCUCCAAAAAUAAAGCCAUCGCGAAACCCUUUCCGACCAACCGCGGGACACCGAGGGCAGGUCGCAAAAUGGGCUGACAGUGUCUUAGUCACCGUGGCCGCCGCGGGUUGACCGAUCAGGUGACCGUGAAGGUGGCAUGAUGACCGAUCACGUUCCGAUCCGCAUGGCAACGCGCCUGCCGCCGUCAAUCGAGUGAGAAGAAGCGGCAAACACGCACACACACACACACACACCUCCGGGUGGGCGUUACCGAGGCGCAUCGGCCAAAUCCAUCAGGCACGAGGAAGGAACAGCUUUCGUUUUCCUGCUUUGCUGCUCCAAAAUUAUCCAUCCAGCCUUCCGCCACGGUUGCUAGACGGAUGUGCUAUGCUUUUGCAACAAAAAAGAGAAGUUUUAAAAACACCCAGCCAGCCAGCCAGCAACAACGGACCACUUUGCCGAAUAAACAGUUUUAACAUUGGGUAAGAAACUCGAUGACUAAGCGGGGCAGACGAAUUGCAGCCACUCGGGCGGUGAUGGUUGUUGCCGACUGUUUGCUGCUCACUGGCCCGUGCUGGGGCCUGCAUCGCUGACUGAUGGGAAGGUGACCAUGAGCGAUGAAUAUUGCACACAUGCGUGCGCGAUGCAGGUGGGGCCUAUUUAACCGGAGGAUGUCCGGUACCGGUUACAGUGCGGAAGGGGCUCACCCUCGGCUUUGUAAGUGGGAGUUUAUUAAGUAGCUGUUGAAUAAAUAGUCUAUUGCACAUUUAAUGCAAGCUGUGGGUCACAAAGUGCACUCUUGGUGGGCUUCAUUAGCUGAUGCAUUAAGGCAUCUUUGAGCAUGAGAUAAAAUAAUGAAUCCACCUUGCUGGUGGACUGUUUCUUCAUGAUCACAUCAAAUUGAUAGAGAUUUAAGAACAAAUUUAAUUAUUUGCAUUUACUUAUUAUUUAAUGUUUUAUACGAAAAAAAGCAAAUUGAUUUAAAAGCACGAUUAACAUCCCACUGUGCUUAUUGAAAUAUGUUAAAAUUAGCUGUUGCUAGGCAAACAGAUUUACAAUUUGUGAUGGAACAGGUUUGCACUAAAAACAUAUUUAAAACAUGAAUUGCUUGAAAAGCUAAAACAAACAAAACAUUUACAAAAAGUGUAAUAUGAAUAAAUGUUAGAUCUUGACCAAUGAUAA